AUUCUGCUAAUGUCAAUACUGUUUAGAGUUGGGUUUUUUUCUUUGAGCAUCAGUUCUUUAAUAGUUGAGAUUCUGAUGAUUUUCUGAAAUUAAGACUAAUGAAAUGGUAAUUUUUUUUCUUUAAAGCAGAUAGCAUUUGGUGUACAAUAUGGCUCAUUGAAAAGAAGGCCUAGAUGAGAUGCUGAGGUUUUUAAGUUUUUUGUACAAAAGUUAAAUGUUGCCAUUGGAUAAUCUUGUUUAGAAUACAAUAGAGGGACUGCUGUAAUUUUCCAGUAGCACCUAGACCACUGCUUCAAACUGUUCGUGAUACUGAGGAACCUCAGGUUUUUUGGAAUACCGGAGGGCCGCCCUUUGCCGUCUUGUUUUAUGCACUGGUGCUGCACGAGCACAAACCAAAACUGAAAUCUUUAGGUUGUAGUCUGAAAUUAAAGGUGUUCAUCUAAAAUACAGGUUCCUAAAGGAUUGAGUGAAAAGAUAGAAAGUGCCAUUGGCAACACGUGUGCCUCUGCCCUUCCUCACUUAAAGCUGGUAGAAUUAUUGAUGAAUGCGUCUUGUUUUCCAGGCUAGAAGCUUUGCAAUCACGUGAGGAAAUGGCUAACCAGUUUUGCUACGGGGAACUUAGUGGCUUAGCCAGUGCCACACGUGUACGGACUAAAGGGAUGUCUAACCUGUGCGGCCGCAUAACACCCAGCCACCGACCAGCUGGAGGGGUUCUUCCCGCGACCCUGUUCGGAGGCAGCCUCGGGAGGGGCGGGGCUUCCGGUCGGCGCGGAAUGCUUCCGCUGCGCCGGCCUCCGGGCGCAUCGGGACCCCAGCGGGCGGGAGAUGAGGAACCUGAAGCCUCAGUAUCUUUGCCUAAGUUAAUCACACAAUGAAUGAUAAGAGAAGUUGAAUUCCCAAGGUAGAUUCUUAACUCCACUGCCUUGGUACUAUACCUGAUUCUGUUCUGCACGUAUGCCUGGGAUCCUGAGGAUCUUAUUUUCCUAAGAUUGUUGGAAUUCUGCUGUCAUCCUGUGAGCUCUUCCCUUGGCCUCAUCACCAUCCUAUAUCCUGGAAUUCUAAUAAGGAAUGUCAGUUUAGACACCUGAGUAUCAAGUUUUCUUCUGAGGAGUUCUCUGAUCUUGGUGGAAAAUGGACUCGAUUUGGGGUAUCUCUAUUUGGCAUGAUACUCUUCUGACAUAUCUCUGUGUACAUAAAUGUAAUUUCUCCAUUUCUGGAAACAGACCCUGCUACCUCUAUUCAGAGCCAUCAAGCCUGUACCUCAAAGUGUCUCUCAGUCUUGGAGUGCCUAAGUUCAUCUGGACUCUGCUUUGUUCUGGAAGUAUCUGACAUAGCUCAGACACUGUCAAAACAGGCCAGGCCUACAGACCUCCUAGGAAGGCAAAACCCCUUUUCCUUGCCCACAAAGCUGGCCUCAUCUUGUUGGAUAUGAGACCUUUUCUUUACUUCUGGUACCUUCUGUGUAAUAUUGGCAUGACUCACAUUCUGAGUCAUUUAUGCUAGCAUACCUGUGUUCCUGGUGUCCUCCACUAUCUCUUUCCCAGCCCUGCUGCAGUUGCUCCUUAGCCCAGACCCCAAGGUGGAAUGGUCCCUGUGGCAGCAGCCAUUUUCAUUUCAGUAGGUAGCAACAUACAAGGACAUGACCAAAGAUUAGAAGUGUUUGGAAGCCUCUUAGAAGGAGUGCUACAGAGACACAAUGCUGGACAGUUAUGAGAACGUAGUCCCUCAAGGCUCCUCCUUGCGGUUGUCCAUGAUGCCACAGAGAGCCGGAAAUGAUCUCCCUGGUGUUUCAAAUACAAGUGAAAUGGAAAUGGAGAUAAGUAAAAUGAGAGAAAAGUUUCUUAUAAGUGUGACAAAGUUAGUAGAAAGCAAAAGUUACAACAGUAAAGUCUUUUCCAAAGAAAAGUACUUUCAAACAAUAAAGGAAGUCAAAGAAGCCAAGGAGAAGGGGAAGAAGUCGUCACGUGAUUAUCGCCGAGCAGCAAAAUAUGAUGUGAUCUCUGUACAAGGCGCAGAGAAACUAAUAGAGGCUACUCAUGGAGAACGGGAUCGAAUACGGUACUAUGUACAUAAAGAAGAGUUGUUUGAUAUUCUUCAUGAUACACAUCUCAGUAUUGGGCAUGGUGGGCGGACGCGCAUGCUCAAGGAGCUGCAAGGAAAAUAUGGGAAUGUCACCAAGGAAGUCAUUGUCUUAUAUCUGACUCUGUGUAAACAAUGCCACCAGAAGAACCCAGUACCCAAGAGAGGCCUUGCACCCAAGCCCCUGCCUUUUAAGGACAGUGACUCCAGAUGCCAAGUUGAAAUACUUGACAUGCAGUCAAAUGCCGAUGGCGAGUUCAAGUUUAUUUUAUAUUACCAGGACCACCUGACCAAGUUUAUUAUUUUACGGCCAUUAAAAGCUAAACAGACCCACGAGGUGGUCAGGGUCCUGUUGGAUAUUUUCACAAUUCUUGGUACACCAAGCGUGUUAGAAUCUGACAGUGGCAUAGAGUUCACAGCCCAGGUUGUUAAUGAGCUCAAUGAGGUAUGGCCAGACCUAAAGAUUGUCUCUGAUAAGUAUCACCCUGUCCAAGGCCAGGGCUGCCUGGAGCAAGCAAGCCAUGACGUCAAGAACAUGUUAAAUGCCUGGAUGCAGAGUAACCACUCACGUCACUGGGCCGAAGGCCUGCGAUUCAUGCAGCUGGUAAGAAAUCAGGCCUUUGACGUUUCCAUGCAGCAAAGUCCAUUUGAGGCAAUGUUUGGUUAUAAAGCCAAACUUGGACUGUAUUCCUCACAUUUACCCCGGAAAACUGUGGCCAUUUUACAAACAGAGGAAGAACUAGAAGCUGCUGAAGAACAGUUAGAGAACAGCCUCUGGAUCAGGCAGGAAGAAAGGGCUGAGAUAGGAGCAGAUAGAUCUGAUGUGGAUGAGGACAUUGAUCCUACUCCUCCCGAAGCUACAGAGCCCAGCACCUCACAAGGGGCCCCAAGUCUCUUCUGCUGGUGAAUAGACACCUGCUGGGUAGGCACUCAUGGUGUCUCUGGACAUUGUGUGACCAUCUGAGAGCUUGCCAAAGGCCCCAGAGAGUACAGAAGUAAUGAUAUUUGUGUUCUGAGACUAAAUUGCAAAAAUGCCACCUCGCUGUCUUGGAAUGCUCACUCUUGGGUCCAACAACCGUGCUUUGAGGAAGCCCAAGCAGCCUGUGGAGAGGCCCACUUGGAAAGGAAACAAAGUCGCCAGCCGUCAGCCCUGGCUAAACUCUUAGCCAACAGUUAGAACCGACUUGCCAACCAUGUGAAUAAGCCAUCUUGGAAGGAGCGCCCUCCAGUCCCCAGCUGAUCUUCAUCAGAUGAUGCUGUAUGGAACGGAGGCAAGCUCUGGCCAAAUUGUAGAUUCAUGUUAAAAAAUAAAUGAUUGUGUUGUUAAGCUAAGUUUGGGUUGGUUCGUUAUGCAGUAAUGGGUAACUGACUAACUGUGAAUCUAUUACCGUAUUCCAUUUCCCCAGGUCAGGUCCUUGUUACCUUGUUUAACUGGGGGACAACUUGCCUAAUAAAGCUUCUGGAAGUAAAGCUCUGAUCACAAUAAUAGUAAACACUAUUAAAUGCUGAUUUACCUACAGUGCUAAGUGCUUUAAAUUCAUUAUGUUAUUUAAUCCUUACCACUGUACAGAGUGGUUUGAAGCUGAAGAAAUGAGUUUAAGUAGGCAAAGUAACUUAAGGACAUAAUUUCCCUCUCUCAUAGAGGAGGAAAUGGUGCUCAGAAAGGUUAAUAACCAGGCCAAGAUUCAAACCCAAAGUCAUUCCGAGUCCAAGGUCAGUUCCUGUAACCACUUUCCCUGCUCAAGAAUUUCCAGUGGCUCCCAUUGCUCACAGGAUAAUGACUUAAACCUGACUCCAAACCUGCUAUCCAAGUUGGAACACAGUUUGGUCCCAACUACAUUUGCAGCUUUGGUAUUGCAACCUCAGGUAUAGGCAUGUGAAUUUUUUGGUUGCACUUGUUUUGUGUGGAGGGGUGGAAAGAAACUCAGGCUGUCAGCUAGUCCACACUACAUAGUCACUCGCUCUUUCCUGGACUUGGUUUCCUGAAAAAAUGAGAGACAAUUGAACUAGCUUAUAUUAAAAUUCUCUUCAAGCCUAACUCUCUGUGUUGUAGAAACUGCCCUCUUGUACUUUUGUGCUUCCUGCCUCUCCUAGAACUCCAGUGUCUGAGUAUCCUAUCAGGGCUCAUCCCCACUUCCGAGAAGGUGAGAGAAGAUGUGAGACGCAGAGAUCAGUGCUUUGUGUUCAUUUACCACUUUAUCAGAACUAGCUUUAUGUUGUGGAAUGAAAUCUGAUUUUCUACAGCUCUAGGAGGAGAAGGAACAUUUUUUUCUGAUAUUUCUGAGGUUCUAUUCCCAGUGGGUUUUUUUGAUACUAAACAUCAGAAUGUCAUUAGUUAGCACUGGGGUUGGGAACGGGGUACCAGGGGGAGGGUGCCUGAAAAACUCAGGUUUGCAUUGUUGCUUCCAAAUUAUUUUGCAUGCUUUGUGGUCAUCAGUGCAGCAGACCAUUUAAAGCAUGGUUUAACAAAGCCAGGUUCAGUCACUGAGUGGGCUGAUUUACCUCUGCAGUUACUUUAACCACUUCUGAUGCCAUGGCUUUGGGAAGGUUUGGGCGGGGUGGGUUGUUUUUAAAUAUGUGAUUUACAUAUAUUUCCUUUUGUUUUGUAGAAUUUUUAUAGAAAUUGAUUUGAAACCUGAGAUACUUUAAAUAUAAAAGAGCAAAAGCCAUCCCAAGAACUCUGUAGUUCAAGAAGUUAACCAGUGGCAGAAUAUGUUUCUCGCUGGAGUCUUCUAAAUUGCUAGAAGUCCAGAAUUCUAUCCCUUUGAAUUUUUUAAACAUGGUUUCUUUUUCAGUUCCUGGUUCCCCCCUUAUUAUUGUUAUCUUGGCGCUAAUCUUUGUUUACCCAGGUUCUGACAUUUUUACCCCAGAAUUAAUUACUCCAGAUGGUCGACUCUACUGUGUUUUCCAAGCAAACAAAGUGGACAGGAAAUAUGAGUUUCCUGAGCAAAUUGGCUUUCCGUUUUAUUAUGAGACUGCCUUUUAUAAGCUCUUUAGAAGAUGUUUAGCAUAUAUCUACUUUUCUUAUUUAUAACUGAUUAAAGAUUUUUUUAUUUAGGUCUAAUUAGGUUUUACCUUUUCCCAUUUAAAAUUUGGUCCUGAUAUUCUGCCUUUUGCUUCCCUGAGUCUCCUUUGUAGAAUCUAUUGUUCUGUUUAAUUUUAACUGCCACAUCCUUUCUAUGGACUAACUCCUUUCUCAGAAUAACUUCUCCACACCUGGUAUUUUGGCCUAGAAUUUCUUUUCACUUUUAGGCAUUUCCUUUGACAUUGCAGUGGGGAUGAUUAACAGAUGAGCUCUUGUGAGCCUUUCCUCUGGGUUUUGCACAGACAGGUCACUCCUAACUUCGGUUCAGUGACCAGAUGUUUGCUUCUCCCCUCCUGCAACUCCAUGUCAGCUCUGAGGGUGCUAUUCUAGAAGGGGUAUCACCUCUCUUAACAUCUUUCUCCUUUUACAUGGCAGGAAUCCUGGAAAAGGCUGCCUUAAAUGUAGGGACCACUAGGAUCUUUAACACAUAACUCAGAUCACCAAUAAUAACCCAACUGCCUUCUGGUCCUGAAAAACUACCUUUUUGCCUGAAAUGAUAGACACCUGGAAGCUGCCACCCUUCUUCCUCUCCAGGUACAGAUACUGGGUGUGUCAGGAGACCCUUCUUGAAAUCUGUCCUGUCUCUGCUUUUCUCCUCCAUCCCUCGUCUGAGACUCACCCACUUCUCUAGACUAUCACUUUCAUCCAUUCAUUCAACAUCUGUAAACACCAACUGUGUGCCAGGCAUAAUGCUGGUCUUUGGAGGUACCAUCAAGUAAAUAAUCAUGGUAGAGAGUGCUAAGUCCUGAAAUAGGGCAUAAAGCAAAGACUUCCUAAGUCUGCAAAGGAGUGCUCAGUGAGGGCUCCACACAACGGUAACUUAAGCUGAGUUUUGAAGGGUUGUUUGCAGUUCACUGGUGAACAUUCUCCAUUCUGCCUACUUUGUAUUAGAGGAAUUCUUUCAGGGGAAAUAAACUUGGCCAGAUGCUCAGUAGAAAAAUCUGGCAGAUACCACCUUAACCCAGUGAUCAAAUUAACAUCCCAAGUAUUCAUACAACUACUGGUGCCUCCUGAUAUCAUGCACUGAGAAGAGCACAUUUCUGUGAUAUUUCUACCAAAAAUGCAUUACCUGAAUCUAAUGAAGAAACAAAAGACAAACCAGAUUAAAAAGCAUCCUACAAAAUAACUGGCCUGUACUCUUCAAAAAGGACAACAUUAAAAAAGACAAAGAUGGAGGAACAGUUCCAGUUAAAAUAGGCUAAAGAGACGCGGCAACUGAACUCAAUGCAUGAUCCAGGGUUUUCCUUUGUUACAGUGGACAUCACUGGGACACCUGGUGAAAUCUGAACAUUGUCUGAAGAUUAUAGUAUUGUAUCAGUGUUAAUGUCCUGAUCUUGAGAAUUGUACUAUGGUUAUAUAAGAGAAUGUCCUUGUUUUUAGGAAAUGCACAUUGAAUUUGGGGGUGAUGGGGCAUGAUGUCUGUAACUUAUUGUCAAAUGGUAGAGAAAAAAAUGUAUGAGUGAGAAAGAGGGAAGGAGAAAGAGAUAUAAAGCAAAUGUAAUGUCAACAUUCUGGGAAAUGUGGGUGAUGAGUAUAAAGGAAUUCUUUGUACUGUUUCUGCCACUUUACUGUAAAUCUGAAAUUAUUUCCAAAAAAAAGAAUUGGCAGGAUCGCAAGAAAGGUUUGUGAUUAGUUCCUUAAGCCCUGGGACCUGGGACCGUGGGAAUACAGGGCAGUAAUUUGCCUUUUGCUCUUGGGCCUGCAGAGGUAAGAUUACAUGCAGGAAAGAACCACUGUGUUUUCAAGUCCUCAUAUCCCCCAUGUUGCAGAUCCCCAAAAGUAACUGAAAGCCCAAGGCCCUGUGCCAUUUCCCCCUCUGUACACAGAUAUAUUCCAGGGUUCAGUUGAAUACAGUGUCCGACAAAUCCCUGCUCAGCCAAACAGACAUGGAGCCAGAAUUCUCACAAAUAUCCUACUACCAGCUUCACCCCAAACAGUGGUUCCCCACUGAAAGCAAUUCUUCCUUCCCAUUAGUUGAAUUCUUCAGUGAAUUCUUAAUGUUUUAGAGCAGUUUUAGACUCACAGCGAAAUUGGGAUCAAAGUGCAUAGAGUUCCCACAUGCCCUUCCUACCACACACCUUGUAGCCUCCCCCACCACUAACAUCUGGUACCAGUGCUGUGCAUUUGUUGCAAAAGAUGAACCGACAUGAACAAGUUAUCACCCAAAGUCUACAGUUUACAUUACAUUAGGGUUCCUCUUGGUCUGGCACAUUCUAUAGGUUUCGACAAAUGUAAAAUGAUAUGUGUCCACCAUUAUAGUAUCAUAUAGAAUAGUUUCACUGCCCUAAAAAUCCCAUGUGCCACCUAUUUAUCCCUCCCUCCCUAUUCUUAAAUGCUUGGCAACCACUGGUUUUUUUACUCUCUCCAUAUUGCCUUUUCAAGAUGUCAUAUGGUUGGAAUGAUAUGUAGCCUUUUCAGUACGUAGCCUUUUCAGACUGCCUUCUCUCACCAGCAUGCAUUUACAUUUCCUCCAUAUCUUUUUGAGGCUUUAUAAACCAUGUCUGUUUUUUGCUGAUUAAUAUUCUAUUGUAUGGUUAUGUCAGAGUUUAUCCAUUCAUCUACUGAAGGGUAUUUAGGUUGCAGUUUUUGGCAAUUAUUAAUAAAGCUGCUUUAGUUAUGUAUGAGUUUUUGUGUGGGCAUAAGUUUUCAAUUCAUUUGGGUAAAUAGAAUUACAAUUACUGGAUGGUAUGGUUAAGAGUAUGCUUAGUUUCGCAAGGAACUGUCAAAUUGUCUUCCAAAGUGGCUGCACCACUUUGCAUUCCCACAAGCAGGGAAUGAGAGUUCCUGUUGCUCCACAUUAUCGUCAGCAUUUGAUACUGUCAUCAGUAUCUGGAUUUUAGCCAUUCUGGUGGGUUUGUUGUGGUAUCUCCUUGUUUUAAUUUUCAGUUCCCUAAUGAUAAUGUGAU